rnacentral:lncRNA from 7 species
ACCUACACGCACGCAUCACGAUGCACUAGUGUAGAGAAGCUUUAAAGUAUGGUUAUAGUGUUUUCAGCGCCGCCGGUAAACUCUAGAUCCAAAAUAUUCUUCUUCUCUCUCACAUGAUGAAACCUAAAUCUAAAAUAUGGCUAAAAUUAAGUAAUAAUAAACAAAAAUUGACAAGAAAAACAUAAACCACCUUUCCUAGCAACAUUCUUUCAAAAAAAUGAAGCUCAAAACCUCUCCCUUGUAUUUUGUAAAAUCUGAACCUCCAAUAGAAGUUGGCUGCAAGCUACAACUCCUCUCGGGGAGGAUGAAAGGGUAUUUAUAAUACAAAGUUUCACUGGUGAUUGGCUUAAGAAACCGCUAGUGAAAAGCUAUUUUCACUUAUGGUUCUCUUAACACAACCAUCAGUGAAAAUAACACUUUUUCACUUGCGGUUGGUGUAACCGAGAAAAUAGCCCAUUUCCACUGGCGAUUGUGUUAAGAGAACCGUCAGUAGAAAUAGGUUUUCACUACCGGUUUCUUAAGCCGAGCCCACCUGUUUAUUUUCACUGACUAACUGAAAUGCUACUGAAAAGUUUUGCAUACCACAUGCUUAGAGUCUUUUCCACUAGUGAUGUCUCCAACAAUGUAUAUUAUAUUCAUCAUCUAUAUCUCUUUUUUACAGUUGUCUAUGCUCUCUUUUUAUAUACCUUUUCUCUCCGGCAGCGCCAUCUAUAUAUAAAUAUCUAUUAUAAAGGCAUAUUUUAUUUUAAUUUUUUUUAUAUAUACGUAUAUGUCAUAUCCUUAAACAUUUAAUAUAUAUUUUAGUUUUGCUUAAUCUGUUUUUUAAAGUAUUAAAAUAGAUAGAGGAUAUGAAAGAGAAUCUCUAUAUAUAGAUGACGUUGUUAGAGUGGAUUUGAAGAGGCAAUCUCUCUGGUAGUUGUCUAGAGGGGUUAAUAGACAACACCUAAACAUUCAAUACUAAAAAUAAACUAAAUCCAAAGUUAGAGGUCAACGCACAUGCGGAUUCAAAGGGAGCUAGGGCUCUAGUCCUCCUAUAUCCGUGAAACUCUAUUGGAGAUAAAGGUCGAGGUAUAGGAGAAGGAAGGAGGGAGAAGAAGAAAAAAGAAAAUAAGCCCUCUCUCUACUAGCUUGUGGUGUCUCCGCCACUGCCCACUGGUCACCGGAAAAUCAGUCCUCGUUUAGUUCAUUCUUGGAUCUAUCACUGCUCACUACGGUAUUAGAUCUGAUUUGAAUACAUCUAUUGCUAAGAAACUAGAUAGAUAGAGCGGUGACAGUUUGAUCCUAAGAUUCUAUAGACUUACCAAAAUAUGUCAACAUACUGUAACGAUGCCAAUAUACUCUAAACAAAGCUUGCCACUUCAAGGCAGAAGGAGAUAGGUCAUUAUGUCCAAGCAGUAUGGCAUGGGUGUGCAGGUUGUUAUCGCAAGCCCGUGCAACAUGUGUGCACAACACCCCCUCUGCUCUGUUGCCGCGAAGUUUCUCCCUCUCUCUCUCUCGGCUCUCGGCCUAAAUUGACACCGCGCUUUUCCUUCCCGCGUGUCCACGGUCCAAUCCUAGCAUGAAGAAUCGACAGAUAUUCCAAAAGGACAUGGCGCACUGCAUUCCCGUCCCUGCAACGAUAGACUCUCCCAUCGGUUUGUGUGCUGCAGCAGCCAUGUGAAAAGCAUGCAUACGCAGAUGGCCACAGAGAUUGCACCGCGCGCGGUCUGAUUCCUCUCAGAGUCUCUGGUGGUGGCUGCUGCUGGCUGAAGAAAAUACUGAGCUCAGCUCACAACGACAGCACAUGUCCCGUUCCCCGUUUACAACAUGCGGAUUGGAUUUCUGUUCGGAUCGAGACUGUUUUGUGACUGGCGACAUCUUUACCGUACGAAAAAAAACACUGCAGAGUAAUAUAAUAGUAUCUUUCAGCAGCUUCAUUUCCGUGUGAGGCUGGCUCCCUUAGUCCCUUUUCUUAUAUAAAACCAAAGCUAGAAACAGAAAACACGGUAGCUUUAAAAUUAUUUGGUUUACAAACAUGUAAGAUAUGUGCAUAAGACGGUGUACUCGAAAAUAUUUGCAAAAAUCUCAUAAGAAUUCCAAGCGCGAGCACAAUUUUCCUAAGAAUUUCAAGCAAUCUAGUUCGCGCGUGGUCCUAGCUGCCACAUCUAGUCAUAUAUUGUACUUUGAUUUGAUCAAUGAUGGUUCAAAUGUUUCCUUAUGGGGCAACACUUGGGCAGGGGGUUUGAGGCCGAAGGACUUGGCGGCGCCUCGUAUCUUUUCCAUUUUAAGGAACAAAAGGAAAUCUUUGGCUAAUAAGGCGGUGGAUCACAGAUCUUGUCCUGUUUGAGAGAACAA